GGAGUGCAGACGUGUGCUCUUCCGUUCUCUCCUGAGCGUGAAGCCGGCUUUUGGUGUUGCUUCUGCAGCUGCUAUUAGCCAUUGAUGAUCGUUCUUCUUUUCCUUUUUGGAGAUGAAGAGGGAGAGAACGUAGUCUGAGUGGCUU